rnacentral:rRNA from 1 species
AGUGAACGCUGGCGGUAGGCCUAACACAUGCAAGUCGAACGGCAGCACAGUAAGAGCUUGCUCUUACGGGUGGCGAGUGGCGGACGGGUGAGGCAUACAUCGGAAUCUACUUUUUCGUGGGGGAUAACGUAGGGAAACUUACGCUAAUACCGCAUACGACCUACGGGUGAAAGCAGUGGAUCUUCGGACCUUGCGCGAUUGAAUGAGCCGAUGUCGGAUUAGCUAGUUGGCGGGGUAAAGGCCCACCAAGGCGACGAUCCGUAGCUGGUCUGAGAGGAUGAUCAGCCACACUGGAACUGAGACACGGUCCAGACUCCUACGGGAGGCAGCAGUGGGGAAUAUUGGACAAUGGGCGCAAGCCUGAUCCAGCCAUACCGCGUGGGUGAAGAAGGCCUUCGGGUUGUAAAGCCCUUUUGUUGGGAAAGAAAAGCAGCAGGUUAAUACCCCGCUGUUCCGACGGUACCCAAAGAAUAAGCACCGGCUAACUUCGUG